rnacentral:misc_RNA from 1 species
CCGAGUUUACCAACUCACCAACCCCGUGUGAACGUACCGUCUCCCGUUGCUUCGGCGGCGUCGCCCCGGGCGCGGGCCUGCUGAAGGCCGCCAGCCCCGGAACCAGGCGCCCGCCGGGGGACCCCCCCAAAAACCUCUGUGCCGUCUAAGUGGCUUCUUCUGAGUUGCGCUCUCUGAGCGGAAAAUGAAUCA